AGAGUUUGAUCCUGGCUCAGGAUGAACGCUAGCGGCAGGCCUAAUACAUGCAAGUCGAACGGGAUCCGCCAGCUUGCUGGCGGUGAGAGUGGCGCACGGGUGCGUAACGCGUGAGCAACCUGCCCGUCCCAGGGGGAUAGCCCCUCGAAAGAGGGAUUAAUACCGCAUAAUGUUGCGGGGCGGCAUCGUCCUGCAACCAAAGAUUUAUCGGGGACGGAUGGGCUCGCGUGGCAUUAGCUAGUUGGUAAGGUAACGGCUUACCAAGGCUACGAUGCCUAGGGGCUCUGAGAGGAGAAUCCCCCCACACUGGUACUGAGACACGGACCAGACUCCUACGGGAGGCAGCAGUAAGGAAUAUUGGUCAAUGGAGGCAACUCUGAACCAGCCAUGCCGCGUGCAGGAGGACGGCCCUAUGGGUUGUAAACUGCUUUUACAGGGGAACAAACCCCGGUACGUGUACCGGGCUGAGUGUACCUUGAGAAUAAGGAUCGGCUAACUCCGUGCCAGCAGCCGCGGUAAUACGGAGGAUCCGAGCGUUAUCCGGAUUUAUUGGGUUUAAAGGGUGCGUAGGCGGGAUGCUAAGUCAGUGGUGAAAGACGGUGGCUCAACCAUCGCAGUGCCGUUGAUACUGGUGUUCUUGAAUGCGGAUGAGGUAGGCGGAAUGUGGCAAGUAGCGGUGAAAUGCAUAGAUAUGCCACAGAACACCGAUUGCGAAGGCAGCUUACCAAAUCGUUAUUGACGCUGAUGCACGAAAGCGUGGGGAUCAAACAGGAUUAGAUACCCUGGUAGUCCACGCCCUAAACGAUGAUGACUCGGUGUUGGCGAUAUACUGUCAGCGCCCAAGCGAAAGCGUUAAGUCAUCCACCUGGGGAGUACGCCGGCAACGGUGAAACUCAAAGGAAUUGACGGGGGCCCGCACAAGCGGAGGAGCAUGUGGUUUAAUUCGAUGAUACGCGAGGAACCUUA
rnacentral:rRNA from 1 species